UGUGUGUGUGUGUGUGUGUGUGUGUGUGUGUGUGUGUGUGUGUGUGUCAGUGCACGCCCUCUGGUGGUUUCAGAGUGCUGAUCAGAGAGCUGAGGUCCGUCACAGAUCUCACUCCGACGCCCGGGUGGUGUCUGCAGUGCGGAGCUGCGUGGGACACCUGUCCUCUCAGGAGAAUAAACUCAUGUUCCCAUGCUCCUUCUCUCCAAUGAAGUGACUUCCUGUUCCUCAGCCAAUCACAGCGCAGCAGAGCGUCGUCAGAGUUUGAAUGUAAUAACAUCAGAAUAAAUAUAUAUUUUCGGUGGAGGUGUUAUGGGUCUGUCAGUCAGUGUGAGUGACAGCAGCCAAUCAGGUGGCAGAGAUGUGGGGUGGGUGGGGCUUGUGUUCUACUAACUGAUUAUUUCCUGAUGAUCAAACUCUAUUUAUAUAAAAACUGAAUAAUAAAUUAAAUGUGAACAUG